AUAUUCUGUAUGAUGAAUUCAUAGUUCAACUGAUUUAGAAUGAAGGAUUUUUGGGAUUCUUUCGCCCCUAUCUGAUAGCAUUA